UGAGUAACGCGUAUGGAACCUACCUGAAACAGGGGAUAGCUUCCGGAAACGGGGAUUAAUACCCCAUACGAUUCAUUUGUGGCCUCACAAAUGGAUAAAAGCUACGGCGGUUUCAGAUGGUCAUGCGUACCAUUAGUUAGUUGGUGAGGUAAAGGCUCACCAAGGCGAUGAUGGUUAGGGGUCCUGAGAGGGUAGUCCCCCACACUGGUACUGAGACACGGACCAGACUCCUACGGGAGGCAGCAGUGAGGAAUAUUGGUCAAUGGGCGCUAGCCUGAACCAGCCAUGCCGCGUGCAGGAAGACGGCCCUACGGGUUGUAAACUGCUUUUCUGCAGGAAGAAUAUAUAGUCUUAGGGCUAUAUUGACGGUACUGCAGGAAUAAGCAUCGGCUAACUCCGUGCCAGCAGCCGCGGUAAUACGGAGGAUGCAAGCGUUAUCCGGAUUCAUUGGGUUUAAAGGGUGCGCAGGCUGUAAAGCAAGUCAGUGGUGAAAGCCCUGGGCUUAACUCAGGGAUUGCCAUUGAAACUGUUUUACUAGAGUGUAGUAGAGGACGGCGGAAUGAGUUGUGUAGCGGUGAAAUGCAUAGAUAUAACUCAGAACACCUAUUGCGUAGGCAGCUGUCUAUACUACAACUGACGCUGAGGCACGAAAGCGUGGGGAGCGAACAGGAUUAGAUACCCUGGUAGUCCACGCUGUAAACGAUGAUCACUCGUUGUUGGCUACUUAGUAGUCAGUGACCAAGGGAAUCCGAUAAGUGAUCCACCUGGGGAGUACGUCGGCAACGAUGAAACUCAAAGGAAUUGUCGGGGGCCCGCACAAGCGGAGGAACAUGUGGUUUAAUUUGAUGAUACGCGAGGUACCUUACCUGGGUUUAAAUGCUGGCUGCAUUGGAGGGAAACCUUCUUUUCUUACGGGACCGCCAGCAAGGUGCUGCAUGGUUGUCGUCAGCUCGUGCCUUGAGGUGUCGGGUUAAGUCCCAUAACGAGCGCAACCCCUAUCGCUAGUGGCCAGCAUGUAAUGGUGGGGACUCUAGCGAGACUGCCGGUGUAAACCGGAGGAAGGUGGGGAUGACGUCAAAUCAGCACGGCCCUUACGUCCAGGGCUACACACGUGUUACAAUGGCCGGUACAAAGAGCAGCCACCUGGCGACAGGGCGCUAAUCUCUAAAAC
rnacentral:rRNA from 1 species